UAGGGAAUCUUCGGCAAUGGACGAAAGUCUGACCGAGCAACGCCGCGUGAGUGAAGAAGGUUUUCGGAUCGUAAAACUCUGUUGUUAGAGAAGAACGUUGCAUAGAGUGGAAAAUUAUGCAAGUGACGGUAUCUAACCAGAAAGGGACGGCUAACUACGUGCCAGCAGCCGCGGUAAUACGUAGGUCCCGAGCGUUGUCCGGAUUUAUUGGGCGUAAAGCGAGCGCAGGUGGUUUAAUAAGUCUGAUGUAAAAAGGCAGUGGCUCAACCAUUGUGUGCAUUGGAAACUGUUAGACUUGAGUGCAGUAGAGGAGAGUGGAAUUCCAUGUGUAGCGGUGAAAUGCGUAGAUAUAUGGAGGAACACCGGUGGCGAAAGCGGCUCUCUGGACUGUCACUGACACUGAGGCUCGAAAGCGUGGGUAGCAAACAGGAUUAGAUACCCUGGUAGUCCACGCCGUAAACGAUGAGUGCUAGUUGUUUGG
rnacentral:rRNA from 1 species